GGGAGGACCUCCUAAACCUAUGAAAGUAAAAUGUCAAGACAGGAAAUUCCCUAGUUGUUAUCACAAAGACCUUUUCUGCCCAGUUACUUGCCCUCGUACAUGUAUAGCUGACUGUGACUCAUGUCAACCUGUUUGUGUUCCACCACCACUUUCACCACCAAAACCUCGUUCACCUAAGAAAGUGAAAUGCCAAGACAAGAAAUUCCCUAGUUGUUAUCACAAAGACCUUUUCUGCCCUAUCACUUGCCCACGUACAUGUAUAGCUGACUGUGACUCAUGUCAACCUGUUUGUAUUGCACCACCACUUCCACCACCAAAACAUCGUUCACCUAUGAAAGUGAAAUGCCAAGACAAGAAAUUCCCUAGUUGUUAUCACAAAAGUUUUGCCUGCCCUGCCAAUUGCGCACGUACAUGUGUAGCUGAUUGUGUCUCAUGUCAACCUGUUUGUAUAGUUCCAACACCACUUCCACCCCUAUCCCCUCCAUUCACUCCCUCUCCUCCUCUUACCCCUAAU
rnacentral:lncRNA from 1 species